AUGGCCGCCAGUCCCAAGCCCCAGCUCCUCCUCCUCGUCGUCGCCGCUGCCGCCGCCCUGGUCGUCGCGUCCUGCCACGCGGCACGGCUACCACAGGCCACUGCAGGUGGAGGCUUGGCGGCGGAGAAGUCGCACAGGGACUCCAGCUGCCUGGAGCUCACGCAGGUGCAGUGCCAAAUUACGCCGUGCACCAAUUACUGCUUCAGCAUCGGGCUCAACACCACGGGCUGGUGCACCUUCAAAGGCCUCAACGUCUACUGCUGCUGCCCUGUCCCGGCCGCCGGAGCCACCACCGCCGAGCUGCCGGCCUCCUUGUCUCCCUCUGGCCCUCAGGCCGGCGGCGAGGCGAAGAAGGCCGCGGACGUCGUGCCCGCGGAGACGGACCCGGCCAAGUGUGAGAUGAUGGUGCCCUGCGACGGGGAGAAGUGCACCGAGCACUGCGUCCGCAUCGGGCUGGGCAACGCGCGGGGCUUCUGCUCCUUCCACGACUUGCACUUCGAGUGCUGCUGCCCCAUGCCGCCGCCCCUGCGCUCGCGCCGCCUCUCCUCCUCCGGCUCGGUUUAG
rnacentral:rRNA from 1 species